UGAAAGUUCGGGAGGGCUGACAACAACCACGCUCAAUCAUUCCCAGCCGUCAGGGAUUAGCAAUCCCUCCCUUCGUCCUUCCUCCACCGAACGCUAUAAAUACCAAACGCGAUAUCCCUCUCCCUCGCGUCCCACUUUUGCAUCCCACCUCCACCCCAUCUCCACCUCUGCAGCUGCCCCUUGGUUACCUGGCGGGGGGGUCCUGUGGCCAGGAGGUCGGCCCUCAGCCAAGCAGGUUAAGCCAAACAUUCGCUCCACAAUAGUUUGUUACGCUUCGAUUUUGGGCGUUGUCAUUCCUCAUGAAUUCAAAAUGAUAGCUCUAGGUGUCUGAUGAGGUUGUGCGCGUGGGAUUCGAAAUCCCGUUUUUUUUAAUCUUCCAGAGUUGCAGAUGCAGUACAAAUGAGCAGUCUAAAGUGCAGAAUGAGAACAGGAAUUCGUUUUGUGGAGAUGACAAAGAAGGCAAGAAUAAAGUUUCAGAACAGCAUUUGAUUGGUGGUGCCAGCUUUAUCAAGCUUCCUUUUCAGCAGGUUUUGGGAUUAUCUGUUCAAUAUUUUAAGCAAAAACCAUCAAGCCAGGUCAUACAUACUGUAUAUAAAUAUACUUUGGUCUGAGUGCUUCAGGCUUUGACAGAGUGGUAGUUUGUGUUCUUAUCGUGGAUUGUGGUAGAAAUUGCCCCUUAAUCCGAGCCUCGUGCAUUUUACAGCAUAUUACAAGCCCUCUGUAUGCGCUACAGUCCUCUGACAGCACUAGCCCUGGGCCAUCACAGUGUGCUAUCAGAGGGAACAUACUGCAGGGCCGAUCCACGCAUCAGAGCGUGUCUGUAUCACACACGGCUGUGAUCAGAAAAGCAGCGAGAGUCCUUCUGAGGAACUGGAGGAUGUGUACGUGCAGUGCUGGAGCCACACAGCCAGUCAGUGACCCAAAUCUGUCUGUCGAUGCGAAGAAACAGAUGCUGAUGACAUUAAACCUCUGGCUGUUCCUCUUGAAGGGGUGAGGCAGUCGUCAAGCCAAUUCUAACAUUUCUGUGCAGUCUGGUAGAUCCUUAUUAAAUGCUCAGAUUGACACAGGUAUAGAUAUUUCGUCUUAAAUCCUAUGUUUUUUAUUACACGUUUGUCUCAUUGAAGUGAUCUAAGCAAAGAACAUUUACUUUGC
rnacentral:lncRNA from 1 species